CCUACGGGAGGCAGCAGUGGGGAAUAUUGGGCAAUGGGCGCAAGCCUGACCCAGCGACGCCGCGUGAGGGAUGAAGGUCUUCGGAUUGUAAACCUCUUUCAGUGGGGAAGAAGCGAAAGUGACGGUACCCAAAGAAGAAGCACCGGCUAACUAUGUGCCAGCAGCCGCGGUAAUACAUAGGGUGCAAGCGUUGUCCGGAAUUAUUGGGCGUAAAGAGCUCGUAGGUCGUUCGCCACGUCGGAUGUGAAAAUCUGAGGCUCAACCUCAGACCUGCAUUCGAUACGAGUGAACUAGAGUUUGGUAGGGGAGACUGGAAUUCCUGGUGUAGCGGUGGAAUGCGCAGAUAUCAGGAGGAACAUCAAUGGCGAAGGCAGGUCUCUGGGCCAAUACUGACACUGAGGAGCGAAAGCGUGGGGAGCGAACAGGAUUAGAUACCCUGGUAGUCCACGCCGUAAACGGUGGGCACUAGUUGUGGGGACCUUCCACGGUUUCCGCGACGCAGCUAACGCAUUAAGUGCCCCGCCUGGGGAGACGANCGCAGAUAACUACAANAGAGUAGACGCGUGAGACGUCGCCGACGGACGACGACGAGGGAGUUAGG
rnacentral:rRNA from 1 species